UCUGGUGCCAAUGGCAAAGAGGUCACACCUGUUCCCAUGCCGAACACAGAAGUUAAGCUCUUUAGCGCCGAUGGUAGUUGGACUUACGUUCCGCGAGAGUAGGACGGUGCCAGGU
rnacentral:rRNA from 1 species